rnacentral:lncRNA from 10 species
CUUUUUGAAUACUUUCCUCAUUCCUGACCUUUGAGAGUUUGAUUGUUAUAUGUCUUGAGGCAGUAAUACUUGGGUUGAAUUUGCUUGGUUUUCUUUUACCUCCUGGUACCUUCUUGUAGGCCUCCAGCAUUCUUUCUCAUUCUUUUUUCUUUGUUUUCCUCCCUGACCCCCGAGCAGCCUAACUGGGAGGCACCCCCCAGCAGGGGCACCCUGACACCUCACAUGGCAGGGUAUUCCAACAGACCUGCAGAGAGCCCUUCCACUAAAGCUGAGACUGGGUGACUUAUUGGUUCAAGGUACUUAAGAAAACCUCUUUUCAAA